ACGACCUUACUUGAACAGGAUCUGUUCUAUAGGCUCGUACCUCUGUGUCCUUGAGACCUAAGGAGACAGUAACCUUCGUCUGGUGGAUGAAACGUGGCUGCGUGAUCAGAGCGUGAUUAACGGUUCCUGCUGGUUCGUUGUGGACCAGCUGGUGCUGUAGAGGAUCGUUCUCAGGCAAACACCGUUUUACCUGGGGUGGUCAAGCAGCUGUCUGACAGACU